rnacentral:rRNA from 1 species
AGCGAACGCUGGCGGCAGGCCUAACACAUGCAAGUCGGACGAAGUCUUCGGACUUAGUGGCGGACGGGUGAGUAACACGUGGGAACGUGCCUUUAGGUUCGGAAUAACUCAGGGAAACUUGUGCUAAUACCGAAUGUGCCCUUCGGGGGAAAGAUUUAUCGCCUUUAGAGCGGCCCGCGUCUGAUUAGCUAGUUGGUGAGGUAAAGGCUCACCAAGGCGACGAUCAGUAGCUGGUCUGAGAGGAUGAUCGGCCACAUUGGGACUGAGACACGGCCCAAACUCCUACGGGAGGCAGCAGUGGGGAAUCUUGCGCAAUGGGCGAAAGCCUGACGCAGCCAUGCCGCGUGAAUGAUGAAGGUCUUAGGAUUGUAAAAUUCUUUCACCGGGGACGAUAAUGACGGUACCCGGAGAAGAAGCCCCGGCUAACUUCGUGCCAGCCGCCGCGGUAAAAC